rnacentral:rRNA from 1 species
CACAUGCAAGUCGAGGGGCAGCAUGAACUUAGCUUGCUAAGUUUGAUGGCGACCGGCGCACGGGUGAGUAACACGUAUCCAACCUGCCGAUGACUCGGGGAUAGCCUUUCGAAAGAAAGAUUAAUACCCGAUGGCAUAGUUCUUCCGCAUGGUAGAACUAUUAAAGAAUUUCGGUCAUCGAUGGGGAUGCGUUCCAUUAGGUUGUUGGCGGGGUAACGGCCCACCAAGCCUUCGAUGGAUAGGGGUUCUGAGAGGAAGGUCCCCCACAUUGGAACUGAGACACGGUCCAAACUCCUACGGGAGGCAGCAGUGAGGAAUAUUGGUCAAUGGACGAGAGCCUGAACCAGCCAAGUAGCGUGAAGGAUGACUGCCCUAUGGGUUGUAAACUUCUUUUAUACGGGAAUAAAGUGAGGCACGUGUGCCUUUUUGUAUGUACCGUAUGAAUAAGGAUCGGCUAACUCCGUGCCAGCAGCCGCGGUAAUACGGAGGAUCCGAGCGUUAUCCGGAUUUAUUGGGUUUAAAGGGAGCGUAGGCGGACGCUUAAGUCAGUUGUGAAAGUUUGCGGCUCAACCGUAAAAUUGCAGUUGAUACUGGGUGUCUUGAGUACAGUAGAGGCAGGCGGAAUUCGUGGUGUAGCGGUGAAAUGCUUAGAUAUCACGAAGAACUCCGAUUGCGAAGGCAGCCUGCUGGACUGUAACUGACGCUGAUGCUCGAAAGUGUGGGUAUCAAACAGGAUUAGAUACCCUGGUAGUCCACACAGUAAACGAUGAAUACUCGCUGUUUGCGAUAUACAGUAAGCGGCCAAGCGAAAGCGUUAAGUAUUCCACCUGGGGAGUACG